GUGAAUUUAGUUUAAAUGAUAAAACAUUUGAUUUGCAUUCAAAAACUUUAAGUUUAAUUCUUAAAAUUCACA
rnacentral:tRNA from 1 species